rnacentral:rRNA from 1 species
ACAAUGGAGAGUUUGAUCCUGGCUCAGGAUGAACGCUAGCUACAGGCUUAACACAUGCAAGUCGAGGGGAAACGACAUCGAAAGCUUGCUUUUGAUGGGCGUCGACCGGCGCACGGGUGAGUAACGCGUAUCCAACCUGCCCAUCACUUGGGGAUAACCUUGCGAAAGUAAGACUAAUACCCAAUGAUAUCUCUAGAAGACAUCUGAAAGAGAUUAAAGAUUUAUCGGUGAUGGAUGGGGAUGCGUCUGAUUAGCUUGUUGGC